UUCUUGAUUUUCCAUCUUCUUCAUACAGAUCUAGAAAUCCGUCGGUUACCGAUUCAUUCCUAUUAAUUCCUUCAUCAAUCCAUCGUACACGACCUAUCUUCAAUGCCAUCUUUUCUCUUAGAAGGCGGUGGUGGUUUGACUAUAAAAAGGUUAGCAUCCCUACACUCUUAAUCAUCCUAUCACACUAUUGAACAAAUCAAUCUACUUAUUUACUGAGAAAUGGCUUGCUCUCGAGAUCAUCUAUCCAUCUCGAUACGUUUUGAGAUCGAAGAGAUGGGUAAAGUGGCUGUUGGUGCGACGGUUGUCUGCGCAGCGGCGGUUUGCACGGCGGCGGUGUAUAUAGUGAGGCGGCAGAUGGAAAGCUUGGGGGAAAUGGGAGCGUGUGAUAGAGAUCCUGAGGGUGAUGGAGGAGGAUUGCGGGAGGUGGGAAUCUGAGACAAGUGGCUGACGCAAUGACUGUUGAGAUGCACGCGGGCCUCGCUUCUGAAGGUGGAAGCAAGAUUAAAUGCUCAUCAGUUAUGUUGAUAAUCUUCCUUCUGGACGAUGGUGCCAGCUUUUCUCCAAGGUUUUGCCGUUUUUUUUUUCGAGUUCACCCUUAAACCAACUCAAACAUCAGAAAUAUUAAACGUGGUGGCGACCUCAUGGGAGUAAAUAUGCUUCUUCUGGAUUCUAAGUUUUAAAUUGUCUUUGGAGGCUAAGAUUGUGGAUCCGGAUACGGGUCGUGACUUGGGGGUUGAUCGAACUGGCGAACUCUGGUUCCAGAGUCCUACCGUGAUAAAGGUUAUUCCAAGAACGAGUAAGCUACUGCUUUUACUAUUGAUUCAAAAGGAUGGCUGAAGACUGGAGUUUUGUGUUACACUGACAGUGAACGUUUUGUCUUUACUGUUGAUAGAUUAAAGGAGCUAAUCUAAUGCAAUGCUUAUCAGGUCGUUUAUUCCUCGAUGCCACAUCAGUGACACACUGCCCACAGUAGAGACACCAAAUGCAGGCUCCGUAAAGAACAGAGGGGUUCCUCUGCCACAUCUUCCAAGUAUGGUGGUGUUAGAAAAAUUGAAUCCAUCACACUAUCUGAACUUAAUAGCUACGAUCUCAAUUCAGCCCCAGGGUAAAAGCUGUUCCAAAACCCGUCGAGCAGAAGAUCUAGACCACAAAAUCUAACAAGGCCGUAAACCCAGACCAGCCUCCACCAUUUGUCAAAUUUUUGUCUAGAGAGGAGUGAAGCCAGCAACAAAGGAAGAAUAAGAAUAAGAGAAGCUACCUAAGUUAACCAAAGAGAAAGAGGAUAUUAUUAAGAAAGAAGAUGAGAAGAGAAAACAAAAGACUAUGCAAGUUGAAGGAGCAGCAUCAGUUGGACGAGGAGCUAGCAAGAGGCAAAGGAGAGGAAGGAGAAGGGAUAACAAAAAUAAAAAGUAAGAAAAGGAGUAGUCAUAUAUAUGUCUAUAGUGAACGAACCAGGUUUUCAUCUUUUUUUCCUGCAGAUUUUUGAUUUGUCUUCUUUUACUUGCCUUCCUUUGAUAAGGCUUGAUAGUUUAGUACAUAGAUUUGGUAGUGAUAUGAGUCUAAUGCAAAAAAAAUGAAGAAGUGUCGCAAACUCACAAUCUUUC